CAGCAGCCGCGGGAAUACAGAGGGUGCGAGCGUUAAUCGGAUUUACUGGGCGUAAAGCGUGCGUAGGCGGCUUUUUAAGUCGGAUGUGAAAUCCCUGAGCUUAACUUAGGAAUUGCAUUCGAUACUGGGAAGCUAGAGUAUGGGAGAGGAUGGUAGAAUUCCAGGUGUAGCGGUGAAAUGCGUAGAGAUCUGGAGGAAUACCGAUGGCGAAGGCAGCCAUCUGGCCUAAUACUGACGCUGAGGUACGAAAGCAUGGGGAGCAAACAGGAUUAGAUACCCCUGUAGUCCCUGUAUCUUAUAC
rnacentral:rRNA from 1 species